rnacentral:rRNA from 1 species
AGUGAACGCUGGCGGUAGGCCUAACACAUGCAAGUCGAACGGCAGCACAGUAAGAGCUUGCUCUUACGGGUGGCGAGUGGCGGACGGGUGAGGAAUACAUCGGAAUCUACUUUUUCGUGGGGGAUAACGUAGGGAAACUUACGCUAAUACCGCAUACGACCUACGGGUGAAAGCAGGGGAUCUUCGGACCUUGCGCGACUGAAUGAGACGAUGUCGGAUUAGCUAGUUGGCGGGGUAAAGGCCCACCAAGGCAACGAUCCGUAGCUGGUCUGAGAGGAUGAUCGGCCACACUGGAACUGAGACACGGUCCAGACUCCUACGGGAGGCAGCAGUGGGGAAUAUUGCACAAUGGGCGCAAGCCUGAUCCAGCCAUACCGCGUGAGUGAAGAAGGCCUUCGGGUUGUAAAGCCCUUUUGUUGGGAAAGAAAAGCAGCAGGUUAAUACCCCGCUGUUCUGACGGUACCCAAAGAAUAAGCACCGGCUAACUUCGUG